AAGAAGUGUGGCAGCGGGGAAUCGAGCAGUGUCACAAUUCAAACACGUUGGCGCGCCAAGGCCUAAACGCCGCGUUUCAUUUAAACGUUGGCAGGUCAACACAAGUUAAACGAGACGGACCAAUCAGAACACACGCAUGGGAUUUGCAUGGACCAAUCACAAUCAAGCCCUAUUCUAAACACAUGAGCAACGCUAUUACGUGGUAAAAUGAAUCAAAA
rnacentral:lncRNA from 1 species